rnacentral:lncRNA from 1 species
ACACAAUUAGAGUUAAAAGAUCUUAAGGAUAUGGUGUCUGUGAGAAAAAGGGCUAGGAAGCUAUUGGCAUACUUUUAGUGAAGGCCUUGGGCUAGAGACAAAAAGACAGUCUUUGUUGUUUCCAUGAUAGAACACCAGAACUAAGGAUUCCACACAGGGGUUUGGGUCUGAAACUUCCUAGUAAACCUACUUAAAGCAAUAUGUGGUGAUUUUUUUUUCACAGAGAAAAAAACUUUCUGGAUAAUUAUGACCACAGUUGGUUGAGUACUUAAUGUCCUGUUCCUUGCCUGUCUCCUUCUGCCAGUUAUGUUAGGCAACUAAGGAAAAUAUUAAUGUGGAAAGAUUUCUAAAAACUGAAACCCAGACACCCAUCUCUGCGAAGGGUUUUCCAGGGAGUCAUUUCCAGGAAUGACAAGGUGAGGCAAAAAAACACUUUAUGACUAGUUGGCCCUUUGAGUCUGUUCCAGUUAUCUAUUGCUACAAAACAGCCAUUCCCAAAUCAAUGACUUAAAACAAGAAACAUUCUUUUUUUUUGAGACAGAGUUUCACUCUUGUUGCCCAGGCUGGAGUGCAAUGGCACAAUCUCAGCUCACCACAACCUCUGCCUCCCGGGUUCAAGCGAUU